rnacentral:rRNA from 1 species
UACGAAGGGGGCUAGCGUUGUUCGGAAUUACUGGGCGUAAAGCGCACGUAGGCGGCUUUGUAAGUUAGAGGUGAAAGCCCAGGGCUUAACCCUGGAAUUGCCUUAAGACUGCAUCGCUAGAAUCGUGGAGAGGUGAGUGGAAUUCCGAGUGUAGAGGUGAAAUUCGUAGAUAUUCGGAAGAACACCAGUGGCGAAGGCGGCUCACUGGCCCGGUACUGACGCUGAGGUGGCGAAAGCGUGGGGAGCAAACAGG